rnacentral:rRNA from 1 species
UACGGAGGGUGCGAGCGUUGUUCGGAAUUAUUGGGCGUAAAGCGCGUGUAGGCGGCUCCUUAAGUCUGAUGUGAAAGCCCCGGGCUCAACCUGGGAAGUGCAUUGGAAACUGGGGAACUUGAAUACGGGAGAGGGUAGUGGAAUUCCUGGUGUAGGAGUGAAAUCCGUAGAUAUCAGGAGGAACACCGGUGGCGAAGGCGGCUGCCUGGACCGAUAUUGACGCUGAGACGCGAAAAGCGUGGGGAGCAAACAGG